GAUCGGAUCAAGCGCAUGAAGGGCGUCUGGUGGAUGCCUUGGCGGCAAGAGGCGAUGAAGGACGUGAUACUCUGCGAUAAGCCCUGGGGAGCUGAUAAUAGGCUUUGAUCCAGGGAUCUCCGAAUGGGGCAACCCACCUGAUACUCGGUUAUUGAGAGCCGCGAGGUUCUCAUUAAUUGGGUAAACCAGGUACUUUUGACCUGAAUCCAUAGGGUUAAAAGAGCGAACCCGGGGAACUGAAACAUCUCAGUACCCGGAGGAAAGGAAAUCAACCGAGACUCCGUUAGUAGUGGCGAGCGAACGCGGACCAGCCGAGCGCGAAGAGUGAGUGGAACCAGUUGGAAAGCUGGGCGAUAUGGGUGACAGCCCCGUACACGAAGCUCUGAGCGACGUAUUAAGUAGGGCGGGACACGUGCAAUCCUGUCUGAAGAUCGGGGGACCACCCUCGAAGGCUAAGUACUCCUUGCUGACCGAUAGCGAACCAGUACCGUGAGGGAAAGGUGAAAAGCACCCCGACAAGGGGAGUGAAACAGACCCUGAAACCGGACGCCUACAAACAGUCGGAGCUCUCUUCGGAGGGUGACGGCGUACCUUUUGUAUAAUGGGUCAGCGACUUGGUCUCACGAGCAAGCUUAAGCCGAUAGGUGUAGGCGCAGCGAAAGCGAGUCUGAAUAGGGCGACUGAGUUCGUGGGAUCAGACCCGAAACCGAGUGAUCUAGGCAUGUGCAGGAUGAAGGUGGGGUAACACGCACUGGAGGUCCGAACCCACACCUGUUGAAAAAGGUCGGGAUGAGUUGUGCCUAGGGGUGAAAGGCCAAUCAAACUCGGAGAUAGCUGGUUCUCCGCGAAAUCUAUUUAGGUAGAGCGUCGAUCGAAUACCCCCGGGGGUAGAGCACUGGAUGGGUAAUGGGGCCCCACAGGCUUACUGAUCCUAACCAAACUCCGAAUACCCGGGAGUACUGAUCGGCAGACACACGGCGGGUGCUAACGUCCGUCGUGGAGAGGGAAACAACCCUGACCUACAGCUAAGGCCCCUAAUUCAUGGCUAAGUGGGAAAGCAGGUGGGACGACCAAAACAACCAGGAUGUUGGCUUAGAAGCAGCCAUCAUUUAAAGAAAGCGUAACAGCUCACUGGUCUAGACAAGUUGUCCUGCGGCGAAGAUGUACCGGGGCUCAAGCCAUGAGCCGAAGCUCGGAACUGCGCAAGCAGUGGUAGCGGAGCGUAGUGUUCAUAAACUCUGACCUCUUUAUCGCCCUUCGGGGUGAUGCGGAGGCCAUGGGUUUUGCUGAGAAGCGUCCCUGUGAGGGGGCGUGGAGCGAUCACUAGCGAGAAUGAUGACAUGAGUAGCGACAAACAGGGUGAGAGACCCUGUCGCCGAAAGUCCAAGGGUUCCUGCUUAAAGCUAAUCUGAGC
rnacentral:rRNA from 1 species